UUUUAUUUGCCCAUUGCUGAGGUCAGGGUUAGAUUUGAUAUGUCUAGACUCUAGACGGGGGGACUUUGGCCGUAUCUAAUCGGAGUCGCCCUUAACAACCCGACGUGUUUGAUAUAUUUUAAAAGUAUCUGUCCGAAUCUCUAUUCAAUCGCAUGUGAAUCACCUGCUAAUUGCGGCUUUAUCAGACGAGCGGUUAUUACAAAAGUGGACAGUUGCGUACUUCGAACCCAGGAUGGGGCCAUUAGCCAGUUUAACACGUGAACCUAUGGUCAAGCAAGAGCUUACAAAUCAUACGAUGCUUACGCGAAAUGAACACGAGAAAGCAUACUACUUUACUUUAAGGAAACCCCAUAAAAAAGACACAUUUUAUUUUUUACACAUUUGUUGUAUGUUGUAUUUGUGCCUUAGGAGCCCUUCUUCAAAAUAGUCCUACAUACGCCUCUGAUUUUUAACAGAUUAGGUGGCAAGAAGAAGAAUUUCGCAUUCACACACAUGUAUGUGUAAUGCAAGAACAGCAGAUCACCCGCAAAAGCUUUUAACAUGGCGAAAGAAGAAAGAGCCAGAGACAGUGAGAGAGGGAGAGAGAAAAAGCUAAUGCCGCCAGCAUGUCAACAAAACAGCCGACUGCUUUUGAGCCACGAGAGCGAAAACCGGUAAAAACCGACUACAGGCCACCAAAAGACAGCAAACAUUCGAAUACAAAGUCAGCAAACAUUGCCCAUUUAUCAGAGGCACGCAUUGAACUUGAAAUUUGCCGCUGCUUUUGCCAAUUUCUUGCGUUUAUCUCUAUUUCUUUCUUGCGCGAAGGGAACGGACAUCGUGGGAGCUUACACAAGAGCGAACGAGAGCGGUAGUAAGCGCAAAGAGCAAGAUGGAGCGAGAGUAGUUUUCCUUUUGUUAUUGUUGCGGCCCGUUAUCACGUUGCAAGAGCGUGAUGCUUCACUGAGAUAUUACACGCUGAGAAAACUGGAGCGCGUUCUUAAGUUCAGAUGAACUGAAUGAUCUGUCAUUUAAACAAAACUAAUAGAACUGUUAUAUUUAGAAUUCGGAAUGUAAAUAAAAGACUUCUUCUGUCUUUAAGCCUCAUUUUGUAAUAAUAAUAAGUUUGUAUCGUUGUAGAUAAUCAAGUACUUUUAUGUCAUCAAUUUGCAAGUGAAAUAAAAACGGUAAUCUUUUCAUUUUCUUUGACCUAGUAAGGUAAUAUAAGGAAAUAAAUUAUGCAGCUUACGAAAUA